AAUGAAAUGCCUGAUAAAAGGGUUAUUUUGAUAGAAUAAAUUAUAUAGAAUGAUUCUAUUUUCAUUA
rnacentral:tRNA from 1 species